GAUGAACGCUAGCGGCAGGCUUAAUACAUGCAAGUCGUGGGGCAGCAGGACUGUAGCAAUACAGUUGCUGGCGACCGGCAAACGGGUGCGGAACACGUACGCAACUUACCCUGAACUGGGGGAUAGCCCGGGGAAACCCGGAUUAAUACCCCGUAAUAUAAUGGAGUGGCAUCACUUUAUUAUUAAAGCUCCGGCGGUUCGGGAUGGGCGUGCGGCUGGUUAGGUAGUUGGUUGAGGUAACGGCUCACCAAGCCUACGAUCAGUAACUGGUGUGAGAGCACGACCAGUCAGACGGGAACUGAGACACUGGCCCGACACCUACGGAAGGUAGCAGUAAGGAAUAUUGGGCAAUGGAGGCAACUCUGACCCAGCCAUGCCGCGUGGAGGAUGAAGGCUCUCUGGGUUGUAAACUUCUUUUAUAGGGGACGAAACCUGUGUAUUCUUACGCAGUUGACGGUACCCUAGGAAUAAGCACCGGCUAACUCCGUG
rnacentral:rRNA from 1 species